AGAACGAACGCUGGCGGCAUGCCUAACACAUGCAAGUCGAACGCUCUUGGUUUCGGCCAAGGGAGUGGCGCACGGGUGAGUAACGCGUGGGAACCUGCCCUGGAGUGGGGGAUAACCGAGGGAAACCUCGGCUAAUACCGCAUACGACCUGAGGGUGAAAGAUUUAUCGCUCUAGGAGGGGCCCGCGUCGGAUUAGCUAGUUGGUGAGGUAACGGCCCACCAAGGCUAUGAUCCGUAGCUGGUCUGAGAGGAUGAUCAGCCACACUGGGACUGAGACACGGCCCAGACUCCUACGGGAGGCAGCAGUGGGGAAUAUUGGACAAUGGGCGCAAGCCUGAUCCAGCAAUGCCGCGUGAGUGAUGAAGGCCUUAGGGUUGUAAAGCUCUUUCACACGCGACGAUGAUGACGGUAGCGUGAGAAGAAGCCCCGGCUAACUUCGUGCCAGCAGCCGC
rnacentral:rRNA from 1 species